rnacentral:rRNA from 1 species
CGACCUCAAAUCAGGUGGGGCUCCCCGCUGAAUUUAAGCAUAUUAGUAAGCGGAGGAAAAGAAACUAACUAGGAUUUCCUUAGUAGCUGCGAGCGAACAGGAAAAAGCCCAGCGCUGAAUCCCAAAGGCUUGGCCUUUGAAGAAUUGUAGCGUUUUAGAGUGCUCAAUUAACCCAAUUUUAUGCACUGAGUUCAAGUCCAUCUUGAACGGGGCUACAGUCCGUAGAGGGUGCCAGGCCCGUAGUUGACUGGUGCUAAAGUUGGGUGAGUUCCUCUUUAGAGUCGGGCUGCUUGAGAGUGUAGCCCUAAGUGGGUGGUAAACUCCAUCUAAGGCUAAAUAUUACCAUGAGACCGAUAGAGAACAAGUACCGUGAGGGAAAGUUGAAAAGAACUUUGAAGAGAGAGUUCAAAAGUACGUGAAACCACUCAGGGGUAAACGGAAAAGAUUCGAAGUACUGAAUUGGGGAGAUUNNNNNNNNNNNNNNNNNNNNNNNNUUUACAUCGAGAUGGUGGAGUGGGUUGCCUUGGUUAUUUUUAAAUUAAAAGACGGAGGACCGCACUUCUCCUAAUCAUACAGACAUCGCAACCCGUUUGGUAACGGUCUAAGGGUCAAAUAAGAGUCUGAUUUUUGAGUUUGGUUCUGCCAAAUUUGAGUAUCAGAUGUUUGACUUGUUACAGGCCGUUGUCUAGACGGUAUCAAACGUAUAUACGCGUUGAACCGCUCAUAGUAAGCGUCAAUUGACCUUGUGCAAGUUUGAAAUGGGUUAAUUUUGCUCGGUUCUUAAAUGUUCCGGCUAGUUUCCAUUUUAACUGUUAGCACAUUGUUUCUCUGACAGUUUGUUCAACACGCUCGUUAGUGAUGCUAAAGAUUCGGAAACUUUUCCGACCCGUCUUGAAACACGGACCAAGGAGUCUAGCGUGUAAGCGAGUCAAUAGGUGUCAAACCUAAAGGCGGAAUGAAAGUGUAAAAGUUUGUUAGAACUUUUAAUUGGAGGAUAGGGGUUGUUUCAUAAUCUGAGCAAUACCCUCGCACUCCAAGGGCGUUUCGUUCUCAAUUUGAGUUGAGGCGCACCAGGAGCUUACACGCUGGUACCCGAAAGAUGGUGAACUAUGCCUGGUCAGGACGAAGCCAGGGGAAACCCUGGUGGAGGUCCGAAGCGAUUCUGACGUGCAAAUCGAUCGUCUGAGCUGGGUAUAGGGGCGAAAGACCAAUCGAACCAUCUAGUAGCUGGUUCCCUCUGAAGUUUCCCUCAGGAUAGCUGGCUCUCGAUAUGAGAAAGAGUCUCAUCCGGUAGAGCGAAUGAUUAGAGGUGAUGGGGUCGAAACGACUUCAACCUAUUCUCAAACUCCCAAUAGAUGAGAGCCCCGGCUUGCUUGAAAGUGAAGCCGUGGGACUCGGAUCAGAGAGGCCAAGUGGGCCAAUUUUGGUAAGCAGAACUGGCGCUGUGGGAUGAACCAAACGCAGAGUUAAGGCGCCUGAUUCGACGCUCAUCUGAAACCAUGAAAGGCGUUGGUUGCUUAAGACAGCAGGACGGUGGCCAUGGAAGUCGGAAUCCGCUAAGGAGUGUGUAACAACUCACCUGCCGAAGCAACUAGCCCUGAAAAUGGAUGGCGCUGUAGCGUCGUGCCUAUACUCUGCCGUCAAUGGCAAAGAAGGCAUCCUUCGGGAGAGAGCCAUUACGCCUUGACGAGUAAGAGGGUCGCGGCGGUGUGCGCGGAAGGGUUUGGGCGUAAGCCCGCCUGGAGCCACCGCUGGUGCAGAUCUUGGUGGUAGUAGCAAAUACUCCAGCGAGGCCCUGGAGGACUGAUGUGGAGAAGGGUUUCUUGUGAACAGCUGUUGCACAAGAGUCAGUCGAUCCUAAGCCCUAGGAGAGAUCCGAAGCGNNNNNNNNNNNNNNNNNNNNNNNAUUUAAUUAAAGUAAUAUAAAUUUUUCUAGUCGGCAACCAUUUGGGCGAAAGGGAAUCCGGUUCCUAUUCCGGAACCUGGCAGCGGAACCGUUUAAAUUCGGGCCCUCAUCUGAGGACUCGUCGGGGUGACCCGAAAUGACCCGGAGAAACCGUAGGGAGAUCCGGGGAGAGUUGUCUCUUCUCUAUAAGCGUUCGAGUUCCCUGGAAUCCUCUAGGAGGGAGAUAGGGUUUGGAACGCAAAGAGCACCGCACUUACGGCGGUGUCCGGAUCUUCCCCUCGGACCUUGAAAAUCCGGGCGAGGGCCACGAGGAACACCGCGCCGGCUCGUACCCAUAUCCGCAGCAGGUCUCCAAGGUUAAUAGCCUCUAGUCGAUAGAAUAAUGUAGGUAAGGGAAGUCGGCAAGCCCGAUCUGUAACUUCGGGAUAAGGAUUGGCUCUGAGGAUCGUGGCGUGCCGGGCUUGGUCGGGAAGUGGAGACGUGCCAACGUGCCGGGCCUGGGCGAGGUGAAAAGUUUAAUCACUUGGACCCUAGCUCGGUCCCGUGCCUUGGCCCACCCACGGAUCUUCCUUGCUGCGAAGUUUUAGCUGUUUA